GGGUUGUGAGGUUAAGCGACUAAGCGUACACGGUGGAUGCCCUGGCAGUCAGAGGCGAUGAAGGGCGUGCUAAUCUGCGAUAAGCGCCGGUAAGGUGAUAUGAACCGUUAUAACCGGCGAUACCCGAAUGGGGAAACCCAGUGUGACUCGUCACACUAUCAUUAACUGAAUCCAUAGGUUAAUGAGGCGAACCGGGGGAA
rnacentral:rRNA from 1 species